rnacentral:tRNA from 1 species
GGCGCUGUGGCUCAAGUGGUAGAGCGCUAGCCUUGAGCUGAAGAGCUGAGGCCCUGGGUUCGAUUCCUCAGCACCA